CCCCGUCACUCCACACUCUGUCACUCCACACUCCGUCACUCUGUCACUCCACACUCUGUCACUCCACACUCUGUCACUCUGUCACUCCACACUCUGUCACUCUGUCACUCUGUCACUCCACACUCUGUCACUCUGUCACUCUGUCACUCCACACUCUGUCACUCUGUCACUCCGUCACUCCACACUCUGUCACUCUGUCACUCCACACUCUGUCACUCUGUCACUCCGUCACUCCACACUCUGUCACUCCACACUCCGUCACUCUGUCACUCCACACUCUGUCACUCCACACUCUGUCACUCCACACUCUGUCACUCUGUCACUCCACACUCUGUCACUCUGUCACUCUGUCACUCCACACUCUGUCACUCCACACUCCGUCACUCUGUCACUCCACACUCUGUCACUCCGUCACUCCACACUCUGUCACUCUGUCACUCCACACUCUGUCACUCCACACUCUGUCACUCUGUCACUCCACACUCUGUCACUCUGUCACUCCGUCACUCCACACUCUGUCACUCUGUCACUCCACACUCUGUCACUCUGUCACUCCGUCACUCCACACUCUGUCACUCCACACUCCGUCACUCCGUCACUCUGUCACUCCACACUCUGUCACUCCACACUCUGUCACUCCACACUCUGUCACUCUGUCACUCCACACUCUGUCACUCUGUCACUCCACACUCUGUCACUCUGUCACUCCACACUCUGUCACUCUGUCACUCCACACUCUGUCACUCUGUCACUCUGUCACUCCGUCCUGCCUGUUCUAUCUGUCGGUUUGACUCAUUUGUUUUCCGUCUUUGUUUUUAGCUGUUAUAACUUUUAA
rnacentral:lncRNA from 1 species